GCGGAAGUAGCUCAGCCCGGUAGAGCAUCUCCUUGCCAAGGAGAGGGUCGAGGGUUCAAAUCCCUUCUUCCGCUCCA
rnacentral:tRNA from 1 species